GGCGUAAAGGGCGCGUAGGCGGAUUAUCAAGUCUCUUGUGAAAUCUAAUGGCUUAACCAUUAAACUGCUUGGGAAACUGAUAGUCUAGAGUGAGGGAGAGGCAGAUGGAAUUGGUGGUGUAGGGGUAAAAUCCGUAGAUAUCACCAAGAAUACCCAUUGCGAAGGCGAUCUGCUGGAACUCAACUGACGCUAAGGCGCGAAAGCGUGGGGAGCAAACAGGAUUAGAUACCCUGGUAGUCCACGCCCUAAACGAUGUACACUAGUUGUUGGGGUGCUAGUCAUCUCAGUAAUGCAGCUAACGCAUUAAGUGUACCGCCUGGGGAGUACGGUCGCAAGAUUAAAACUCAAAGGAAUAGACGGGGACCCGCACAAGCGGUGGAGCAUGUGGUUUAAUUCGAAGAUACGCGAAGAACCUUACCUGGGCUUGAUAUCCUAAGAACCUUUUAGAGAUAAGAGGGUGCUAGCUUGCUAGAACUUAGAGACAGGUGCUGCACGGCUGUCGUCAGCUCGUGUCGUGAGAUGUUGGGUUAAGUCCCGCAACGAGCGCAACCCACGUAUUUAGUUGCUAACGGUUCGGCCGAGCACUCUAAAUAGACUGCCUUCGUAAGGAGGAGGAAGGUGUGGACGACGUCAAGUCAUCAUGGCCCUUAUGCCCAGGGCGACACACGUGCUACAAUGGCAUAUACAAUGAGACGCAAUACCGCGAGGUGGAGCAAAUCUAUAAAAUAUGUCCCAGUUCGGAUUGUUCUCUGCAACUCGAGAGCAUGAAGCCGGAAUCGCUAGUAAUCGUAGAUCAGCCAUGCUACGGUGAAUACGUUCCCGGGUCUUGUACUCACCGCCCGUCACACCAUGGGAGUUGAUUUCACUCGAAGCCGGAAUACUAAACUAGUUACCGUCCACAGUGGAAUCAGCGACUGGGGUGAAGUCGUAACAAGGUAACCGUAGGAGAACCUGCGGUUGGAUCACCUCCUUUCUA
rnacentral:rRNA from 1 species